rnacentral:rRNA from 1 species
UACGAAGGGGGCUAGCGUUGCUCGGAAUCACUGGGCGUAAAGGGUGCGUAGGCGGGUUUUUAAGUCAGGGGUGAAAUCCUGGAGCUCAACUCCAGAACUGCCUUUGAUUCUGAAGAUCUUGAGUUCGGGAGAGGUGAGUGGAACUGCGAGUGUAGAGGUGAAAUUCGUAGAUAUUCGCAAGAACACCAGUGGCGAAGGCGGCUCACUGGCCCGAUACUGACGCUGAGGCACGAAAGCGUGGGGAGCAAACAGG